rnacentral:lncRNA from 1 species
GAUAAAACCUAAGUUGAGAUUUGUAAUCAGCGAAUCAGGCAAGUAUCCUACCUUUGCACUUCCUUUAUGCAAUGGACAUGAGUAAGAAGUUUCAGAAUUAUUCUAUCCCUGUACAGAUUAUGUACUCUUUGAUUAUGAACAUGUUAGCUCAGAUAUAUAUUCUAUUCAUUGAUUUCUAUAAAUGGUUAUACAAGUGUCCCCACUUGGAUAAUCAUGACAUUUGUUCACAUGUUGAUACACCUUUGUCAAUUACCCGUAUAUAUAUGUUGAAUUACAUAUUAUUGUUGAGCAAGAUUAAAAACCUUCGGGUUUGGAACCAGGCAUGUAUGAACAUCCCUAUAUGGGAAGAUUUUUGCGCAAGGCGGAUAGAGUGAGCGAUGAAUUUCGUUCAAGUUAUGUAGUAUUGAUCAAUACAGGGUACAACGGGGCUGAUCACCCUCCGUGCCCGUAAGUUAUGACGGUUUGAGGAUAGA